rnacentral:rRNA from 1 species
CUACCUGCUAGCUAGCAAAACCGCAGCCAGGGAACGGGUUUGGAAGAAUCACAGGACAAAGAAGACCCUGUUGGGCUUUG